UACGGAGGGUGCAAGCGUUAUCCGGAUUCACUGGGUUUAAAGGGUGCGUAGGAGGGCAGGUAAGUCAGUGGUGAAAUCCCCGAGCUUAACUUGGGAACUGCCAUUGAUACUAUCUGUCUUGAAUACCGUGGAGGUGAGCGGAAUAUGUCAUGUAGCGGUGAAAUGCUUAGAUAUGACAUAGAACACCAAUUGCGAAGGCAGCUCGCUACACGAAUAUUGACUCUGAGGCACGAAAGCGUGGGGAUCAAACAGG
rnacentral:rRNA from 1 species